rnacentral:tRNA from 1 species
GCCAGUGUGGUGUAGUGGUUUGAGUGUUGGACUGUAACUCUGGAGACCAGGGUUUGAAUCCCCGCUUAGCCA